rnacentral:rRNA from 1 species
UACGGGGGGGCAAGCGUUGUUCGGAAUUACUGGGCGUAAAGCGCACGUAGGCGGCUUUCUAAGUCGGGGGUGAAAUCCUGGAGCUCAACUCCAGAACUGCCUUCGAUACUGGAGAGCUUGAGUCCGGGAGAGGUGAGUGGAAUUCCGCGUGUAGCAGUGAAAUGCGUAGAGAUGCGGAGGAACACCGAUGGCGAAGGCAGCCCCUGGGCUGACACUGACGCUCAGGCACGAAAGCGUGGGGAGCAAACAGG